GCAAACCACAUAGGGUCCUCUUCUUUCCAUCGUUGCAUGCAUAUUUUGCUUCUGUGAAAUGGGAGUGGUGUAUCUGAAAGGCACGUCAGGGUGCAUGGUUUUGAGGACCAAAGAGAGAAGCGGAAGAAGAUGGAAAAGAGGGCAGAGAGUGAUCGUUGGUUCGGGGCCAGCAAUAGAUCAUGUUCCUGUUAUUGCCACAGACGACCAGCCCUUGACCAAACAAGAUCUUAUUAACUACUUCGUGUCUGGUUGCAAGCCCAAACAAAAGUGGAGGUCACAUAUAUAUACUUAUUAUUCUAUCCUAUUUUACUUAAUUAUGCUAUUUCUCAUACCAGCUCACAACAUGAAAAAUACUUUGGUGGUGAUCAAAA